ACGCUGGCGGCACGCCUAAUACAUGCAAGUCGAACGGAGUAGCAAUACUUAGUGGCAGACGGGUGAGUAACAUGUAGGUAUCUUCCCUUUGGUGAGGAAUAACACGAGGAAACUUGUGCUAAUACCUCAUAAGUCUUUACGGAGAAAGCUUUAUGCGCCAUUGGAUGAGCCUGCACUUGAUUAGUUUGUUGGUGGGGUAAUGGCCCACCAAGACAAUGAUCAAUAGCUGAUUUGAGAGGAUGAUCAGCCACAUUGGGACUGAGACACGGCCCAAACUCCUACGGGAGGCAGCAGUAGGGAAUCUUGCACAAUGGGGGAAACCCUGAUGCAGCGAUGCCGCGUGAGUGAAGAAGGCCUUUGGGUUGUAAAGCUCUUUCGUCGGGGAAGAAAAUGACUGUACCCGAAUAAGAAGGUCCGGCUAACUUCGUGCCAGCAGCCGCGGUAAUACGAAGGGACCUAGCGUAGUUCGGAAUUACUGGGCUUAAAGAGUUCGUAGGUGGUUAAAAAAGUUGGUGGUGAAAUCCCAGAGCUUAACUCUGGAACUGCCAUCAAAACUUUUUAGCUAGAGUAUGAUAGAGGAAAGCAGAAUUUCUAGUGUAGAGGUGAAAUUCGUAGAUAUUAGAAAGAAUACCAAUUGCGAAGGCAGCUUUCUGGAUCAUUACUGACGCUGAGGAACGAAAGCAUGGGUAGCGAAGAGGAUUAGAUACCCUCGUAGUCCAUGCCGUAAACGAUGUGUGUUAGACGUUGGAAAUUUAUUUUCAGUGUCGCAGCGAAAGCAAUAAACACACCGCCUGGGGAGUACGACC
rnacentral:rRNA from 1 species